GCCGGUGUAGCUCAAUCGGUAGAGCGACCGACUUGUAAUCGGUCGAAUGGGGGUUCAAAUCCCCCUACCGGCU
rnacentral:tRNA from 1 species